rnacentral:rRNA from 1 species
UUAGCGGCGGACGGGUGAGUAACACGUGGAUAACCUACCUAUAAGACUGGGAUAACUUCGGGAAACCGGAGCUAAUACCGGAUAAUAUAUUGAACCGCAUGGUUCAAUAGUGAAAGACGGUUUUGCUGUCACUUAUAGAUGGAUCCGCGCCGCAUUAGCUAGUUGGUAAGGUAACGGCUUACCAAGGCAACGAUGCGUAGCCGACCUGAGAGGGUGAUCGGCCACACUGGAACUGAGACACGGUCCAGACUCCUACGGGAGGCAGCAGUAGGGAAUCUUCCGCAAUGGGCGAAAGCCUGACGGAGCAACGCCGCGUGAGUGAUGAAGGUCUUCGGAUCGUAAAACUCUGUUAUUAGGGAAGAACAAAUGUGUAAGUAACUAUGCACGUCUUGACGGUACCUAAUCAGAAAGCCACGGCUAACUACGUGCCAGCAGCCGCGGUAAUACGUAGGUGGCAAGCGUUAUCCGGAAUUAUUGGGCGUAAAGCGCGCGUAGGCGGUUUUUUAAGUCUGAUGUGAAAGCCCACGGCUCAACCGUGGAGGGUCAUUGGAAACUGGAAAACUUGAGUGCAGAAGAGGAAAGUGGAAUUCCAUGUGUAGCGGUGAAAUGCGCAGAGAUAUGGAGGAACACCAGUGGCGAAGGCGACUUUCUGGUCUGUAACUGACGCUGAUGUGCGAAAGCGUGGGGAUCAAACAGGAUUAGAUACCCUGGUAGUCCACGCCGUAAACGAUGAGUGCUAAGUGUUAGGGGGUUUCCGCCCCUUAGUGCUGNNNCUAACGCAUUA